CUGGCCGUAAACGAUGGAUACUAGGCGUUGUGGGUAUCGACCCCUGCAGUGCCGCAGCUAACGCGAUAAGUAUCCCGCCUGAGUAGUACGGCCGCAAGGUUGAAACUCAAAGGAAUUGACGGGGGCCCGCACAAGCGGUGGAACAUGUGGUUUAAUUCGAAGCAACGCGAAGAACCUUACCAGGGCUUGACAUCCUAAGAAUUUUUUGGAAACAGAAAAGUGUCCUUCGGGAAACUUAGAGACAGGUGG
rnacentral:rRNA from 1 species